rnacentral:lncRNA from 1 species
AUGUUGCUAUGGGCAUCAGAUGCCAACCAUUGUACUAUAGGGCAUAGGCAUAUUAUUUGAACCACUUAAUAGUUUUAUCAGGCUUCAAAAGCCUCAGCUUGGAAUGGUAGUAUAUAUCCAUAUACCUGGCUCAAUGGGCUUGCAGUACCAUAUAAAUGGGAAUUACAGCCGUACAUGGACUGAGUGUGUUGUGUAAUAAAAAAGUACUCCGCAUGUUAUGCGUUGGAGUCUCUAAUUAACUAUGGCCUUGUUUAGAUGCAUCCAAAACUUUACAAGAUUUCCCAUUACAUCGAAUUUUAUGGCACUUGCAUGGAACAUUAAAUAUAGAUAAAAAAGAUAACUAAUUGUACAGUUUACCUGUAAAUCACGAUACAAAUCUUCUAAGUCUAGUUACUCUAUGAUUGGAUAACGUUUGUCAAAUAAAAACGAAAUUGCUAUAGUGUCAAAAUUUAAAAAGUUUUUGGAUCUAAACAAGACCAUGUAUAACUUGAAUUCUAUGUUUGUUUUUGGAGAUCCAUUACAGUAGUCGCUGCUGCCGCCACCUUUGCUGCAUCGCCUGUCAUGUAUAGCAGUGGCUAAAGAUGAGGCAGAAUCGAUUGGACUUCAUCUUGGGAGUGCUUAUGAGGCCAGUCUCAGUUAUCCGUUUCAAUACACUGUUUCCAAAACAAAUCCGCUGAUAGGACAUCAAUAAAACGAAUAAUGAAACAACCUCCACAAUGCAUGAGUUUCACCUUGACGUUUCCUAGGCUGGGCAAAGCAUUUAAUUACUGCAAAAUGAUUAGAUCACAUGCAAGAUGGUGAAACGAUUUAGCCCUCAGUGGGUAUUUCAUCCCGUUUCACCGCGUGGGAAACAACGCCCACGGAGUUUCACCAUGGUGAAAUUACUUCCUUCUCUCUCCUCAUCAUUUCAUGCAAAAAGUAUAGUUUUGCUGAUACGACGCUCUAAUAAAUAUGCAUGACAUCCUGAUGAAACCCCUACUGAGACUGGCUUGAUAGUUGUUUACACUAGAGUUGUUUGUAUAUAAUGUACUUAAUCUGGAUGUAAUUGGCUUGUAUAUAGCGCUUCUAAAUCGAAAAUACUACUGGAAACAAUUUCAGUCUUAUUAGCAUUUUAUUUUGAAUGUGCGUAUCGAAUUCAGAGACCAAAUUACAAAUCAGUAUGUACAGAUUGUGUGGCCUACCUCUGAAAAACAGCUUGUCUCUGUCAGUGUGUCCCAACAUACAAGUUAAGCUUGAUCGGCCCUGUCUUUGUCACAGACUGAGCUUCCUGUGUAUUGUGUAUUGCUACGACAGUGUCAAUAGGACACAAAUCUGUGUUUCAGGCCUCAAAAAGUAGUUUUCGCCUGAUAGUGUUGGCAUAUGAAAGCCAUAUGGUUUUAGGACGAUGGCACUGCACCAGUAGAUGAAUCCGUUUGAGUUAGGUCAUAAUUUGUUUUCAGAGUAUGAACGGUAACUAUUGGUUUAUAUCACAUUUAGUGUGCCAGUGUGUUCUAGUAUCUAAUCCGUGAUGCUUGUGGCUUUUUUUUCAACCAGACAAAAAAGAUUCUAGUAGUGACCUCUAGGUCACUUGUUCUUUCAGGGCUUUUAAUAUACUACUUCUGUCCCUGAAAUCUUCAACUUCUGAGUUGUCUUAAGGUCUUGUUUAGUUCCGAAAUUUAUUAGUACGGUGUCUAUUAGAAUCAAAAAGCGUAAGGAUAGGAGCAUGGUCAUUGCGAAGCAUUGGAAGAUGAUAUAUAGUUGUCCGAGGAUAAGCCAUACAUCAUUCCACGUUGGUAGGACAACGAUCAAGAUGUUUGAAAGUUGGAGCAGAGUUGAAUCUCUUAUUGGUCCAUGUGUACGUCGGUCUACUAUAUCCAAGAUCAAUAAAACCACCUUGUUUGACAAAAUCACACAAAACAUUAAUGCGCCUACGAUCAGGUCUACUAGGACCUGAUUUUUCAUUGCGGUGCAUAAUAUCAUUCAUAUCUCCCAUAGAUAACAUAGGCAAGGUGCUAUGACUUACAACAAAAUCCAGCACACACCCAUAUGGUGGUAGUGUUAAUGUGAUGAGAGUCACCAUAAAUACAAACUAGCCCAAAUUGUUUCUGGUCUAGAUUAUUACCACACAGGGCAAAAAUAUAGUUCUAAGACUGAUCAACUAUAGUGAGACUAACAUCCUACUUCCAGAUUAACCAAAGGCCGUCAGAUUGGCCUUGAGCAGGGACUACCGACGCAUCUAUGGCAUUAAAACGAUUAAUUAAAGAAGUACAAGAAAUAGAGGAAAUUCUAGUUUAAGAAAUAAAACAUACUUAUGACUUAGUAGAGGUAAUUAGGUGGGCAAGAUAUGUCAUCUUAGAAUUGCUCAGGGAUCCGCCCGAUCCCCGGCAGUUCCACGCCAGGAGUGUCAUGGCGUCCGCGGUGCCUAUGCGGCUAGUGCUGGAGCCUUUUGAAGAUUGAGGUCAAUAACAAGCUGAGUAGGGCUGCGAGCUGUACCCCUACUUUUACUAGCAUCAUCACUUCAUAGAUAAGCUGUAGAGUGGGGUUCGCCGUGGGGGAGAGCAUGAUGUUUUUCGUCACCCAGAUCUAGUUCCUCGAGAGGAAGCUGGCGAUGAUCAGGAACAUGAGUCGUAGCCAUAGUGUCGGUGCCGUGGGGUGACGUAUGGCAAGGAUGCAUUGAAGUGAGCGAUUGAUGUUGCUGUGAUGCAGUGAUGGCGUGGUGGUAUGGCUUAUUGGUGAUGGGGGUUGAGGCCGAGGUGGAGAGGUGGGUAUGGGGGUUGAAACCGUUGGUGGAUAAGGAAGCUUGGAGGGCGCAUCUUGGUUGGGUGGCUUAGGCUCCAUGGUGAGGGGGACCGGCAUGGAAGUAUAGUCACUUGCCAUGGUGGAAAGGGAUAGAAGAAGACAUAGAAAGGGGAGUACAAAGGUGAAUAACGCGGGCUCAUGAGUAAGAUAUAGCAUACCUCCUUCAAAUCUAGAUCUCAGGCUAUUGACUGCCACCGGUUGAAGCUGUAGACAGCCUGAACUGCAUGAUAGGGAGAUUGGGAGGAGAUUUGGCGCAUGAGAUUAGGACUAGGGGAAGCAGCUUCCGCCACUGCACAGGUCCUAUCGUGUGGUGCCCACUGAGAGAAUCAGCAGAAGGAGCCAGAACCGCUCAGAUCGGAUGUGGAUUGGCACACAAGAUGAUGAUCGAAAGCAGUGAUGAAGCCAGCAGGGGGGGCUAGGGGGGCUCCAGCUCCCCCUACCGCUGCUGGUUCAGGAGAAUUUUUAGUGCUCUCCUUCUAAUUUUAGACACAAAUUUAUAAGGUAGGGUGGGCUGAACAUUUUAUUUUUUAGAUAUAUUUUGUGAAUUUCAUUAUUAAUCUAUAUUUACGAGGAGUAAUAGUAGAGCUAAGUUAAUGUAGAACUUUUGUUCAGCCCCUCCUAAAUUUUUUUCUGGCUUCGUCCCUAAUCUAAAGGAUUGGGAUGGAUUAUAGCAAGGGGAAUCAAGGAUUUAGGGGGGAUUGAGUGGUAGGAAGGUAACUCAUGGCAUAACGACCAAUACUACUCAGAGCUCUUGUGGUCUAGUUCACAACCCAACCUAACAUAAAUCAUUACGGGGAGAAAAUAGUACCUAUAUAGAAUAUAAGUACAAUCAGCAGUGACUGUACACAGAUAGGAAUAUAUAUUGAUUUGAAAUGAACAAAUUAUAAUGUUUCUUUUUUUAGAACACACUCUGCAUCAAAUCUGACAAAAUAGAAGUCAGUAGUGGCAGCACUACAGGCUCUGUCAGAAACUAAGCGAGGGUGCAAGCUUCAUGCAUUUCGGAGUGAUCAAGGAGGAGAGUUUAACUCCAUUGAGUUCAAGCAGUACUAUGAUGAGUAUGGAGUCAAACAUUUCACCACAACUUCAUAUACACCAUAGCAAAAUAGCAUUGUCGAGCGAUAGAAACGCACUGUGGUGGAAAUAGCAAGAUGCCUGUUAAAGAGCAAGAGUGUCCUUGUGAGUUUUGGGGAGAAGUGGUGUCAACUGCAGUCUAUUUACUAAACCGAGCCCCAACAAAGAGCCUGCAAGAGAAAACUCCAUUUGAAAUAUGGCACAACCGCAAGCCCAAAGUACAUUAUCUUUGCAUGUUUGGUUGCAUUGCCUAUGUGAAGAUAGUUGGGCCUGGUAACUAAAUGGUGUUUGUCAGCUAUAAAGCAGGAACUAAGGGUUAUGAUGCCUAGCCUUGCUGAUGUGGCAUAGUUUGGCGCCACGAAACAUGACGCUGACCUCAGUACUAAUGUCAGACGCUGUCCUCGCCAUCCUCAGCUUGCUUUCGAAGUUGCAUGUCGUCUCAUUAUACCUACGCCUUGUUUAGUUUCAAUUUUUUUUCCAAAACAGACACCGUAACACUUUGGUUUGUAUUUCACAAAUAUUGUCCAAUCAUGGAUUAACUAGACUCAAAAGAUUCAUCUUGUAUAUUAUAGGUGAACUGUGUAAUUAUUAUUUUUAUCUAUAUUUAAUGCUCCAUGCAUGCGUCUACAGAUUUGAUGUGACGGAAAAUCUGAAAAAUUUUGCAAAACUUUCUAGGAACUAAACAAGGCCCUAAUGUGCUGUAGUGCAUGUGAGAGGGCGGUAUGAGCGCAUAGAAAGUUGUGUUUUUUUGGUCUCGAUGAAAAUAUGUUGACAGGGCCUUGUAUAGUUAAGCUUUUUCGAUUAGUAUUUUUAUUUUAUUUGAUAACUAAUGUCCAAUCAUAAACGUUUAAAAGAUUCAUCUAGUAAAUUAUAGGCAAACUAUGCAAUUAGUUAUUUUUUAAUUUAUAUUUAAUACUUUGUAUAUGUGUUUAAAAAAUCAAUGUGACGAGGCGAAAAGAAAAAUUUUGGAAUGCGAGGCAAGUUUGUUGCCGAUUUUUUUUAAAGGGGCGGUGGAAUUUUCACAAGAGAUGAAGAGACUUUUUACUGUAAAUAAAAAGAUAAUACCGUGUGAUUGAUUUUUCUAUGCCUGGGUCCGUUGGUUGAUCAAAUUUUUUUAAGUACUGAAAUUACAAAUUGCCUCUAUAGAAAAUGUAAUGAACAAAAUCUUCUAUUUUGAUAUAAAAUAUAUGCAAUAAUAGUCGCCUGAAAUGACCUUGGUCAUGUGUUGCAACUAGAAAAAAAUACUCAUGUGUUGCUACUGCAAAAAGUAAUAUCAUAAUAAUUUAAAUUUCAACAUGUGUUGUACUGUAAACACAUAUUUUCAACAUGUGUUAGUUCGUGAUUUUUUUACUUUGGCUACUACUGUACUAUUUUCGUUUAAAUUUGGUAAUUAUUAUCUAACUAUAGACUAACUAGGCUCAAAAGAUACGUCUCGUAAAUUACAGAUAAAUUAUACCAUUAAUUAUUUUUAUUUAUAUUUAAAUAUUCCAUGCAUGCAUCUAAAGAUUUGAUGUGAUGGAAAUCUAGAAAUGGCUACACCGAUGCCCACGAGACGCGAGGCUUGCCUGGCCGCAUGAGGCCCUUGGCUGAGCUGUACUUCCUCCGUAUAGAAUUUAGAUGUUGUUUAGGGCAGCGAUACAUCUCCGAAAGACAACUUUGACCUCUUAUUUUUAUAAAAAUAUUUAGAAAAAAAUAAUAUAUGUAUACUUUUAUGAAAGUAUUUUUCAAGAUAAAUCUAUUCAUAAAAUUUUUACAUUUGCAAACUCAACAAUUUAAAAGUUAUUGAUGAUUUAUAUCCCAACGUACGAAGGGAGUACUUGUAUAUUUCAACUUUUAUGUAUGAAGAAAUCAAUUUUUUAGUUUUUGUGGCAACACACAAAAUUAAUUACUCGCUCCAUUCUAAAUUAUAAGUCAUAAGUCAUUUCAAAAAUUUUGGAGAUUUAAAGUAUCUCAAGUUUAACCAAAAGUAUAAAGAAAAUAUAAAAAUUUAUGACAUUAAAUAGGUACAAUAUGACGAAAUUUAUGAUGCCAACUAAGUAUCAAUGUAUGAGUAGAUUUUUUAUUAAUUAUAUCUUUGUAUUAUACCUAUUUGAUGUCAUAAAUUUUUAUAGUUUUCUCUAUAAAUUUACUAAAUCUUGAGAAGCUCUGUCUCUCUAAAAUUUUUGAAACGACUUAUAGUUUAGGAAGGAUUAAGUACCUAAUAUACUUUCAAGUCUAAAAUGUCAUUUUACUUUAUAUAUGCGUUGUUAAAAAAUCCUAAAAAUAUCUAAACCAUUGUAUUAAUAUAUCGCGCCGUUCUCAAUUCUCCAUAUCAGGGUUUGUUUAGUUGGUGAAAAAAUUUAGUAUUAGCUACUGUAGCACUUUCAUUUGUAUUUGAUAAUUAUUAUCUAAUUAUAGACUAACUAGAUUUAAAAAAUUGGUCUCACAAAUUACAAACAAACUGAGUAAUUAUUUUUUAUCUAUGUUUAAUAUUUCGUGUAUGCGCCAACGAUUUACUGUGACAGAGAAUUUUGAAAAUUUUUGGGAUUUUAGGUAAAGUAAACAGGUCUCAAUAUGCCAUACGAUGAUUAUUGUUUAUAUGGGUUACACAUGCACCCAUUUAUUUUUUUUGUAAAAAAAGGACUCAAAGGGUAAAGACGGUAAUGAGGAAAAAAAAACCCCCCGCUCUCCUUCUUCCCCUUCCCGCUGACACCAGCUGGCGCGUGCGUGAAGGAUACGCCAACGCCGCAAACCGACCACUCCAUCUUCCCGGGCAAUAAAACCCCAGUAACUCAUCGGCGUCUCCUCCCCCGCUUCCCAGAGCAAUCCAUCCCCAGAGUUCUGGAAUCCCACUUCCUGAUCUCCAUCUCCCAGCAUCUCCGCGCGCGCCCCAUCGCGAUCUCGGCUCCGCGGCUGCCUCGAUCGAUUCCCCCAAGGCCGCAGGUGCUCCCCAUCCUCCCUCCUCGCUCGAUCCGCACUCCUCUCGACUCGUCGCCCCUUCGGAUCCCGUUGCGAUGCUGAGCCUGCCUCCUCCGGCCCCACCCGCGGCGGCGGCGGUGGCGGUGGCGGCGGCGGCGGCGGCGGCGGCGGCGGAUGAGAAGCGUCCCUCGCCGCCGAUGAAGGCGAAGCUGCUUUUUCCGUACGCCGUGUCCUGCGUGUUCGGCGGCAUGCGCCGCGCCUGGGGCAUGGCUCUCGUCGGGCUCCACGCCUUGACCCGUGUCGUCAAGGUCGUCUCCUUCACGACAGACGCAGAGGAGGUUCGCUUCUUGGUACCGAUCUUCCACGGCUGGGUGUACCUCGGCAUCGCCGCCGUGGUGCUCGUGACGUGCGUGGACAUCAUCUACUACACGGUGAGUCUGCUCUUUCCAUACGCUGUGUCCUGUGUGGUCAGCGGCAGAGGCCGGCCCAGGGGCAUGGCUAUGAUCAGCCUCCACAUUGUGCUCAGCAUCGUCAAGGUCCUCUCUUUCACCACAGACCCUGAGGUGGCCCGCUUCUUGACACUAAUCUUCCGUGUGUGGGUCUACUUUGGCAUCACUGCCAUGGUCCUCAUGACGUGCGUGGACAUCGGUCACUACUUGUAUGGUUUGUACACCUUGAUGUUCCAUCCGUCACAGCAGCAGCUGGCAGCGGCAGAGGUGCUGCUCCCGCCUCCACCUCCGGAGAUGGACAUGUGCUAAAUUUGGUCGGUGGGUUCGGUAUGUCUUUGAUUGCUGGCGUCAGGUGCGUUUUCUAACCCGUUCUUCAGUCUCUGUUUUAGUUGCUUACUUACAGGUGUUGCUGCUCUCCUUGCUCAAGGUACAUGCCCUUCCCUUCUCAGCCCUAUCUUCGGUUCAGCACUUUUAAUGCACAUAUUGCUUAACUAUACAGCUACAAGUAUCUGAAACAUUAAGUUUUGAAACAGAAAACAUCUUGAUUUUAGGUUCCAUAUAUAUAGUGUAGUUGUCUGUGGCCCAUAUGAUUUGGUGCAGAUUUCGCUGCUUGUGCUAGACAUUCUGUUUUCAAUUUGUUUAGGCACCACUAGAAAUUGUAAGAUGCUUCAGGUGCUUCCUGUUUAAUAGCUAUUAAAUGGUAUGUUUUUUUCAAGUUUAUGCUCAAUCUAUCUUUUAUAAAACAACUUAUCCACAAUGUGUUCAUACUUCAGUAGUUGCAUUGUGGGAGCACUCCAGUGGAUAGAAAUUUGUUACUUAUUGUUCUAGUAUGCUUUUCCUUGUUUAUUACUCUCUGUAUUUUGUGUUAUUUGUGAUAAACAGGCUUUGUGAGGAAAGGAUCAAUGAGAAGGACCAGUCGUGCUGAAAAGAUUUGCUUUGUCUUGCCUACCUGCCGAAGUAAAGAUAGAGGACAAAUGGUGGCAAACAUCAGUAAAAGCACAUCACUUGACGGAGCUGAACGUGACCAUCACAGAAAAAGUGGAGUAAAAGAGCAACCUGUUGAGUGCCAAAAUGCGAUCGCGCUAAAUCAGGACAGAACAUGUAGAGCUAGAAAAUACUGCAAACCAAGUGGGAGAAGACCCAAGUUCGAAGUUUUAACUGCAAUAGCUAUAUUUCAUAGUUUGUUUAGUAUCUUUAUUAGGAAAGAUUUUGAAUAAGAUAUGGUUUUUUAUGUCUCUAAUAGAAUUUCAGUUGCCAUUGUCUGUCCUGGAGUAGUGCUAUAAAUAAAUUUGUUUGGUUUCACAUUGUCUCUUGCUACAUGGGUUUCUUCUGUUUUCUGUUUUGUUUCUGCUGGGUUUUUGUCACUCCUGGUCACCCAAGUGUGACCUCUGUAGUAUAUGCACAAAAAUAUUACUAGUGUUGAAAAAGGUCUGAAAUUUUUUAAAUAUAAAUGGUCCAGAACAAUGGUUUGUAUAUAUAGCUUAGUUACAUGAUUUUUAGUAUAUCUGACUGUACUGUGAAAAUGGGACAAUAGACAACUAGCAUCUAGUACUUCCGUUGCACGCUGAUUGGGAAGUCUAAUUGGAUUCUGGUGGUUGGCCUGACUGGUGUUGGGUCUCACACAGAGGCCAUAGGCGACAUGUGCCAAUGGCUGUGAGAUCCCUUUCUGCAAAAUGGAACUGCUAAAGGAUUUUGUUUUCCCUUUUUGUGCGCAUAAUAAAAAAAUGAUAGAAACUGACUAUUAAUACUGUUGUACUGUGUCACACUAAUUCUGUUUUAUGUUUUGGAAUUAGCUAGUCACUUGAUAUAUGUCAAAACUGCUAAUCUGAUAGUAUUUUCUUGUUAGUGAUGUUGAUAGCUAAUCUAACAUUUUGUUUGUGUGACCUAAACCCUAAACCCUAAGACAGCCUUCACCAACUACAACUGGAAGACAGAUGCUCAAUCUUAUACAUUGUGCACAUAGCAUUGAUGAAAUACAGAGGCUAGAUUGUUUGCUAAGACAGCCUGAAUCCUAUGAUGCAGAUUCAUUUUCUUAGUAGAUUGCUCCCCUUUUAUGGGAAAGCUGAUGAUUUCAAUGUCGCUAUGGGCAUCAGAUGCCAACCAUUGUACUAUAGGGCAUAGGCAUAUUAUAUGAUCCACUUAAUAGUUUUAUCAGGCUUAAAAAGCCUCAGCUUGGAAUGGUAGUAUAUAUAUGCAUAUACCUGGCUCAAUGGGCUUGCAGUUGCAGUACCAUGUAAAUGGGAACUACAGCCGUACAUGGACUGAGUGUGUUGUGUAAUAAAAAAGUACUCCACAUGUGCGUUGGAGUCUCUAAUUAACUAUGUGUAUAACUUGAAUUCUAUGUUUGUUUUAGGAGAUCCAUUAUAGCAGUCGCUGCUACCGCCGCCUUUGCGAUUGGACUUGCAUCUUGGGAGUGCUUAUGAUAGCUGUUUACACUAGAGUUGGUUGUAUAUAAUGUACUUAAUCUUUAUGUAAUUGGCUCGUAUAUAGCACUUCUAAAUAGUAAAUACUACUGGAAAAUUUCAGUCUUAUUAGCAUUUUAUUUUGAAUGUGCGUAUCGAAUUCAAUUGCCAAAUUACAAUUCAGUUUGUACAGAUUAUGUG